rnacentral:rRNA from 1 species
CGCAAGGGGAGCGGCAGACGGGUGAGUAACGCGUGGGAAUCUACCCAUCCCUACGGAACAACUCCGGGAAACUGGAGCUAAUACCGUAUACGCCCUUAGGGGGAAAGAUUUAUCGGGGAUGGAUGAGCCCGCGUUGGAUUAGCUAGUUGGUGGGGUAAAGGCCUACCAAGGCGACGAUCCAUAGCUGGUCUGAGAGGAUGAUCAGCCACAUUGGGACUGAGACACGGCCCAAACUCCUACGGGAGGCAGCAGUGGGGAAUAUUGGACAAUGGGCGCAAGCCUGAUCCAGCCAUGCCGCGUGAAUGAUGAAGGCCUUAGGGUUGUAAAGUUCUUUCACCGGAGAAGAUAAUGACGGUAUCCGGAGAAGAAGCCCCGGCUAACUUCGUGCCAGCAGCCGCGGUAAUACGAAGGGGGCUAGCGUUGUUCGGAAUUACUGGGCGUAAAGCGCACGUAGGCGGAUAUUUAAGUCAGGGGUGAAAUCCCAGAGCUCAACUCUGGAACUGCCUUUGAUACUGGGUAUCUUGAGUAUGGAAGAGGUAAGUGGAAUUGCGAGUGUAGAGGUGAAAUUCGUAGAUAUUCGCAGGAACACCAGUGGCGAAGGCGGCUUACUGGUCCAUAACUGACGCUGAGGUGCGAAAG